rnacentral:rRNA from 1 species
UACGUAGGUUGCGAGCGUUGUUCGGAAUCAUUGGGCGUAAAGCGCGUGUAGGCGGUUUGUUAAGUCUGGUGUGAAAGCCCGGGGCCUAACCCCGGAAGUGCGCUGGAUACUGGCAAACUAGAGGGUGAGAGAGGAAAGUGGAAUUCCUGGUGUAGGGGUGAAAUCCGUAGAUAUCAGGAGGAACAUCGGUUGCGAAGGCGGCUUUCUGGCUCAUUUCUGACGCUGAGACGCGAAAGCGUGGGGAGCAAACAGG